AACGAACGCUGGCGGCAUGCCUAACACAUGCAAGUCGAACGAGACCUUCGGGUCUAGUGGCGCACGGGUGCGUAACGCGUGGGAACCUGCCUUUAGGUUCGGAAUAACUCAGAGAAAUUUGAGCUAAUACCGGAUAAUGUCUUCGGACCAAAGAUUUAUCGCCUUUAGAUGGGCCCGCGUUGGAUUAGCUAGUUGGUGGGGUAAAGGCCUACCAAGGCGACGAUCCAUAGCUGGUCUGAGAGGAUGAUCAGCCACACUGGGACUGAGACACGGCCCAGACUCCUACGGGAGGCAGCAGUGGGGAAUAUUGGACAAUGGGCGAAAGCCUGAUCCAGCAAUGCCGCGUGAGUGAUGAAGGCCUUAGGGUUGUAAAGCUCUUUUACCCGAGAUGAUAAUGACAGUAUCGGGAGAAUAAGCUCCGGCGUAAACUCCGUGCCAGCAGCCGCGGUAAAGUGACUACUG
rnacentral:rRNA from 1 species